GGGCUCCAGACCCUUCCCCAGCUCUGUUCCCUUCUCUGGAUGUGCUCCGGCCCCUCGAUGUCCCAGGAGUGGACACAGGAUUUGAGGUGUGGCCUCACCAGGGGGACAAUCACUGCCCUGGGCCUGCUGGCCACACUAGGGCUGGUGCAGUCCAGGUGCCCUUGGCCUUCUUGGCAAAACCAGCACCCCCAGGUCCUUCCCAGGCACUCUGCCUGCAGCACCGCAUGGGUUGUUGAACCAGAGAGCUGCACCAUCCUUUGCCUCUCCUUUACCCAGAGAAAACAGGGAGAGGAGCUUGUUUCGGCUCUUUGUUCUGCUGCUCAGCACUGGCAAGGACUGGAUGCAAAUAACUCAUCAAAGAGGUGUAAGAUACAGAGUUCCUGGCCCUGCUUUCUGCUCUCCAAGGCCCAGCAAGGUCUGUGACAUCCCCAGGCUGUCCCCUGCCUGUGGCUUCCCUUGCAGAGCCAGUACUUAGCGAAACUCCUGUAAUAGCCUUUAUACUCUUAACCCAAUUUCCUUCCAAACUGCCAUAUGCUGUGAGCUUUGGGAGGGAUUGAGAACAUGACAAGGCUGCUCUUUUAAAUCCCACGGAGAGGAGGAAAAGUGGCGUUCUGAGUGCCUGCAGGCAAGGAACAGAGGAAUCUCAUACGGGUUUUGGGGCAGGAAAACCCACGUGCCCUCACCAAACCGAAGCCUGCCUCCCCCCGUUUUCCUGCAGAGUUUCCUAAGCAGUUUUCCUAAUCAGAGAAAACGUGAGGGAAGCCCCACUUGCUGUUUUGCUGUCACGUUGGGUGAUGCUCCGAGAUGCUGCUGAAACUUGUGAAGAAAUGAGACCACGCACAUGGUGAUGAGUGCUAGAGAAGAACCAGAUGCUGCAGAGAUGGAGCUGAGCCUCCAGCUGAGUAACCACUUCCCUCCCCACCAGUGGGAGAUCUACCCCAGCUGUUAAGGGAGGCUUUUGGAGGGUGCUGAGCCAGCCAGGUGCUGUCGCCUCAAUCAUUGCUGUGGCAUGUGAUUGGAGUUAGUGUUUAAUUGGGGAGUUUAAGCCCUUCGACCGGACAAGGUAAGGAAAACUUCAGGUGCUGGGUCAGAAGCACCCUUCUGGCAGCCACGUUGGGAAGCUGGUGAUCCUAGAAUUAGUUUUGGAAGGUGUGCAUGUGACAGGACCAACCUUUUCAGGACUUGCAGAGCCGUGCUGAAACCCUCCUUUCCAGAUGGUUUGGUGCCAGCCUGUGUGCUGUCCCUCAGUCUGGAUCAGCACGUGAGGCUCUGGUGGCUGCCACAUGGAGCUCGGCCCUGCCUGGGCCAGGAAAGGGAGCAGUGCCCUGUGGCCAGAAUGCCUCCAUAUGGAUGAGGAAGAAGAGUCUGUCUCCAUAGCUGUGGGUGGACUCUGUGCAAUGAAGCUGAAACACCAGAAGACUUGCUCAGCCAACUCCGCCUGCCCCACCUCCCUGCUGAGCGCCGUGAUUCAUCCUCAAGUAAUUAAGCAGCAGCACAGAAAGUACCUGCCUCGGCAGAAGUGUGAAAAACACAUCUACACCUAACGGGAACCGGACUGAAGGUUUCCACUUGGAGCGACAGCCAGGGAGCUGCAAAGUGACGAAAAGACAGAGCUGCCAGAACUCCCCAAACGCGGUGUGGUUUCCAUGCAGCGUCCUUUUCACUGUACCUUAGGAACAGGAAGCACAAAAAACCCCGUUUGCUGAGUCAGAGUUAGUUAUGGGGGGCGUGGAGGUGGCAGGCUUUUCUCUUGCUGGUCUGACCUUGGAUCUCUGCCUGCAGUGAGCGGUUUGACCUCUUUGGCUCAUCCCUUGCUCCUCAGCUGAAUUCUCCCUGUUCUGCGUCCCUGAGCGUCUCUCAGAGUAUGGUUUGGUGUUCCCUGCACAGGACACUUGUGCCCACAGGCCCAGGAUCCUGUGUUGGCUGCCACCCACUCCUUCCUGAGUCCCAAUCCUGCAGCUUAAUGUUAGGAGAGCUGCAUAAUUUUCUCUUCCCUGCCUGAUAAUAACUUUGCAGGGAAUUGAUAACCUUGAUAACCUCAGCAUGCUCCCCUACGUUGGGGUCUCUCACUAUCAGCUGCUCUGCAUCAGCCCAUUUUAACGAAUUUUGAUAACAGGUACAGCUCCUCAUGGCUGUUUUAGAGGACAUCUCUGCUUUUCUUGAGCUUCUUAGGAGCUGGGCUUUGGGGCCAUGAGCACAGGACCUCACUCUUUGGGAUUGGCAUUGUUGAGAUGUGGCUCAAUUCAUACUUUUCUUCCACUUGCUCUUCUGUGUAAGUCCCAAAGUGGUGCAAAAUGUGAUGGAGAUUUGGUGUUCUUGGGGCUGAAGAAGCAGGACAUGAGCAAAGUGCAGCCUCAGAUGUACCUGAGUACAGCGGCAGCGUCUUCCAGAAAAUCAUUACAACUUUGGGCAGCCUGGGGACAGGUAUUUUCUCCUGAAUUCUUUUCUUGCCAUCUUUUUCCUCCUCUUUGAGUUUGCGUGAGGACCUGUGUGUGGGCGAUGGGAGUUGUUGCGCUGUGAGCUGCUCAGGGCGCCCAUGUGGGAGGGAAGGCAGCUUCCAGCAGGCUCCACAUGUGUGACCAGUGGCUUUUAACACAUCCAUUUCAGGCCUUCAUUGCAACCUGAGCUGCAAAACAAUUUGGAAAUGGGUUUAAUAGCUGUGUUUCACCACUCCUAUGUACUUGGGAAAGUGUCGAGCUCUCUGUGGAUGAGUGUCCCUAUACUUCCCAGAGCUGAAUUCCUGGCUCUGCAGAGAGCAAGGCAAUGAUCCCAACUUAGCCAGUAAGAGCUUGUGCAUGUGAUGCUGCUCUUCUUUCCGCUGACAUUUCUAGAUGUUGGUGUUCUGCAAUGCAGAAUGCAGGAAAAAAACGUUUGAGGAACAUGGGCAGAACCAGGACCUUGCCCUGUGUCCUGCUCCAGCACGGCAGAGGGAAUUUCCUGCCCUGUGUAAAUGGUGAAACAGUGUGUGGUUGUCAGCAGCUCUGUCCGAAACGCCUGCUGGAGGAGGUAGCUGUGUUUAUUUUAAUGGCUGGGUGUAUACAUUCAUUAUUUCUCAUUGGUUUUGCAUUGUGUACAUGCACAAACGUGGAACCAUACAUAUGUAUGUUCCAUAUCACACACACAUACACAGCCCGCAACACACACCAGCACAAUGCAGCACGAAACCAGGGGGCUUUCGCUUCUCUUAAUUACCUAAUUAUAUUGAUUCUUACAUUCUGUACAUCUUGGUUUUAUCUGAACUUUCCAGAAGGUGUAAGCAAUACACAUCUUGUCACAUCCCAUUUUCACACUAGCGCUGUUGCUGUAUGAACCAUUGCUCGAAAUAAAACACGACGAGAAUAGGCAGCCAUCUGUCUGGGAAGCACAUGCAGUCCCAGAUGGCAGCUCCUCUCCUGCUUGCUGGUAGCAGAGUCCUCUGCCUGAGGAACGCAGCAGAAAUGUGUAACAGUUCAGCAGGGAUAUGUAGAACGCGUGGUCCUCCCCCGGGCUGGGGCUUGGGGCCCUCCAGCGAUGGGAGGGGAGGGAAGCUUGAAACUUGGAGCACGGAGCCCAUCCCUAAGGAGGGCAGGUGUUCAUCUCGCUCACAGCAACCUCUCUGUGCUCAGCUCUCUGGGAAUGAGGUUCCUCAUCCCGUCUGUCUCUGUGUGAAUACUCCUUUGGAAUGGUGAAGUGGGGGCCUGAUGGAAAAGAGUCUGCAGGACCUUGUCGGGUAAAGCUGCAGGGAGGUAAAAGCCCCUGAGCAGCUCUCUCGGGACUGUUCACACAACAAGUGACUCUGCUUGGUCCGCAGGCCACCAAGAAUUGACGUGUGCCAGCCUCCAAGGGUCACAAACCACCUCACAGCCAGUGUCCCUCGACCCAGGAGUUGCCCUGUGUCGUUCAGGACAAGCGACACUGCUGCCUUCCCUUGGUCAGCGCCACUUGUGAAACAGCAGCAUGGGAAUGUCUUUCCUGCCAACAGAGGUGAAUGGUGAUGAAAUACCUCUGCUUAGCAAGGCUUGGUCAUUUCUGCUGGACUCUGCAUCCAGGGAUUGCUUUCACUGAUCAAAUUUAGCAGAAAAAGCCCAAGAAUGUGUGAAGCACCGAGGCUGGGAAUGGCUGGGCUUUCCACUGGGAGGCUCAUGGAUGUGGUAUUUCACUGCAGAGCCCCGUUGUACAGGGCAAAGCUGCCAUGGGCAGGGCACCUUCCACCCUCCCAGGUUUGUCCAACUCCCAUCCAAACCGGCCUUGAACCUUUCCAGGGAUGGGGCAGCCACAGCUUCUCUGGGCAGCUUGUGCCAGGGCCUCCCCACCUUCACAGGGAAGAACUUCUUCCUAAUAUCUAAUCUAAACCUAAUAUCUUCCCAAUAUCUAAUCUAAACCACUCACACGGUCAGGAGGAAAGACAGUGCAGGCAGGAAAGGUCCUGCUGAGAUUGUGCAGAGGGUCAGAUUGUUUUGCAUGCAGGAGAAAAACAACUGCUUAUUCCUUCCUCUCGGAAACGAUCUCGCCCUGGCCCAGCUUGUGCGAAAUGGAAUUAGAGAGCCUUGCUGAGCACCGGGAGCUGGCGGGAGCCAUCACUCAGCCAAUUCAUCAUAAUGGGAGCCUGGUAUCUAAUAAGCAGGUAAUAAAUGUGCUAAGUGUCCACCUUCAGGUUGCCUGCAUGCCUCCCCCCUGCCCAGACCCUGGGUUGCAGCUGCUGGCAAGGAGACGUCACCCUGGCUGAGAGCAGACGAUGCUGGAGCGAUGCCUGUCUGGCUUUCCUCUCCUGCCACGGCCGUGGCAGGGGAGCCACGAGCUCUAUAGGGAAGGUGUGGGGCUGGGGAAGCAGGUUAAGGCAGGAAAACCUCACCCCAGGUAAAUCAGGCCUGGAGGCUGCAGUGGGGCUCGGCUGAUCUCUGAAAGUCAGGCAGCAGGUUGGGGUAGGGAACGGGGAGGGUUUUGCUUUGUUGUGGAAUGUUUUGCACCUUCAGUCUAGGAGCUAAAAUUGUGAUUUCUCUGGUUUUCAGUGCAUGAGGUAAUGGACAAAGGGCAGCUGGGGCCAGCUGCUGAGGGAGCACAAGGGGAUGUUGAGUAGAGAAAGCACAGGGCAAUGCUCCCCCUGCCCUGAGGGAGGGGCAAGGGGCAGGCUGUGGUACCAGGGAUUGCUGGCAUGGUUUGGGUUGGAAGGCACCUUAAGGAUCACCCAGUUCUAUCUCCCUGCCAUGAGCAGGGAUGUGUUCCACUAGACCAAGUUGCUCAAACUCAUCCAGUCUGGCCUGGAACACUUCCAGGGAUGGAGUAUCCACAGCUUUUCUGGGCAGCCUCCUCCAGUACCUUACCACCCUCUGGUGGGACCAGGAGAACCUGGGCUGGGAGUCACAGAAGCUCAGGGGACGCCCAUGUCCCAGGGAAUAGCCAGCGGGUGGCUGUCCUUGCUGGGGGACGUGGGUUAGGAGAGGUGAUCCUGGAGGAGGUGACAAGUCCAGAGGGAACAGCUCCUCCUCUGACCUCAGGGAAAUGUGGAUCCCAAGCAGCAGUAAAUGGGAACACAUGGAAUUACAAGGGCCUUUGCUGGCAUCAGGCAGGAGGCACUGGUUCAGUAGAGUGAUCUCUGGUGGGACUGGGGACAACCCUGACUGGAGGAGAUUGCGGGAAGGGCAGGAGACAAGGACCUCUGUAUAUCCUCCAGCUGAGAAGGACCUGCUGGGGCGCAAUCUCUGGCACCACCACCUGGGACUGACAGCUGCCAAUCUUCUUUCCUUGCUGGGGCUCUUCCCAGGGGGAUGCUGCUGUCCUGGCCCCUGCCGUUCCUGCCCGUGGUGCUCCGAGCGGGAGGUCAGCGCCGCAGGCCCCGCUCGGCAAAGCGGGGAAGCCUGUCCCUAUUUGUCCCCGAGCGCCGGGGCCUUGGAGGUGAAUCAGAUGCGCUGCA